rnacentral:lncRNA from 1 species
AUGUGGGCUGAAGAUACAGCUCUUGUGUUUUCUGAGUCCCUUCUCUGUGAUUUGUUUUCUGACUUUUCCUUUGGAGGGUGAAGAAAUAAGACACUACAUGGCUCUGCUUUUUAGUGCGUGGAUCAGAGACACAUCUAUGAACAGCUGCCUACGCAAGUUGAUUACUGGGCAAUAUAAUUUCUCAGUUUUUAUGGGUAAAUGAGUGCUUCUCGCCAUGGACCUAGCUUGUGCAUCAAUUUAGUUCCAUUAGCUUGCUUUGGAUUCAUGGGAAUUCUGAACAGAGACGUGAGAAUGACUUCAAUUUGAGGUAUCUGUUAAAUGCAGCAACAUGACAUCACAAGGAUUGUUUUGGAGUCUUCUGGAUAUGAGAGAUAUUAAAAAGGUGAAAUAGUAGGACUGGAGUAUGUGGGGAGAAAUAGAGAAAACCAUGGUUUUCAUACUCUCUUUUUGGAGAAUAAUUUAUUUGUUGGUUUGUUUGACAGAAAUGGGAUUAUUUG